UACGUAGGGUGCAAGCGUUGUCCGGAAUUAUUGGGCGUAAAGAGCUCGUAGGCGGUCUGUUGCGUCGGCUGUGAAAACCCGGGGCUCAACUCCGGGCCUGCAGCCGAUACGGGCAGACUAGAGUUCGGCAGGGGAGACUGGAAUUCCUGGUGUAGCGGUGAAAUGCGCAGAUAUCAGGAGGAACACCGGUGGCGAAGGCGGGUCUCUGGGCAGUUACUGACGCUGAGGAGCGAAAGCGUGGGGAGCGAACAGG
rnacentral:rRNA from 1 species